rnacentral:autocatalytically_spliced_intron from 1 species
GGCCGCCGUAUACGGAACCGUACGUACGGUGGCUAGAGGGGACAGGUAGCGAAUUAAUCGCUACCUUCCUACUCAA